rnacentral:misc_RNA from 1 species
UAUGAUUCAACAGUAAAGGUGACUACUGGAAUCUAUUUCUACUCUAAGCACAGAAACAAUUUAAGUUGAAGGGAAACGGAAUUUAAGUUGCCAAAUAAAAAAAUUAAAGUUUUUUCAAAAAAAUACUAGUAAAAUAAUUCUGUAUCCUCUCUCCAUGUAAAUGCAUGAAAGGAUAUAAAACAAUUGCCUUAGUUGAACAAACCUAAAUUGAAAAUAUUUUGAUGCAUGAUUGAACUCUGAGAGAUUGCAAGAAAGACAAAAUAUAGAAUCAAAUAAAAACUAAAAAUACAUCAAGAACUUGACAAGAAAAAAUCAAUAGACUGGUUG